rnacentral:lncRNA from 12 species
GGCAAUUAUGCCAGAACAUACGAUUUUGCUCACAAGGAUUUGAUUUUUCUUAGUCUUUUUCAGUGUUUCUUUAAAAGAAAACAAGGAGGCCAGUUUUUCCUGAGGCCAGCUGUCAAUCAAACUAUCAUCAGCCCCUCCCUCCACGUCUGUGUUUACAUUUCGGAUUUAGUCUCCUGUUUUCUUUCUUUUUUUUUUCUUUCUUUUUUUUUUUUUUUUUUUUUUUUUUUUUUUUUUUUUUUUUUUUUUUUUUUUUUUUUUUUUUUUUUUUUUUUUUUUUUUUUUUUUUUUUUUUUUUUUUUUUUUUUUUUUUUUUUUUUUUUUUUUUUUUUUUUUUUUUUUUUUUUUUUUUUUUUUUUUUUUUUUUUUUUUUUUUUUUUUUUUUUUUUUUUUUUUUUUUUUUUUUUUUUUUUUUUUUUUUUUUUUUUUUUUUUUUUUUUUUUUUUUUUUUUUUUUUUUUUUUUUUUUUUUUUUUUUUUUUUUUUUUUUUUUUUUUUUUUUUUUUUUUUUUUUUUUUUUUUUUUUUUUUUUUUUUUUUUUUUUUUUUUUUUUUUUUUUUUUUUUUUUUUUUUUUUUUUUUUUUUUUUUUUUUUUUUUUUUUUUUUUUUUUUUUUUUUUUUUUUUUUUUUUUUUUUUUUUUUUUUUUUUUUUUUUUUUUUUUUUUUUUUUUUUUUUUUUUUUUUUUUUUUUUUUUUUUUUUUUUUUUUUUUUUUUUUUUUUUUUUUUUUUUUUUUUUUUUUUUUUUUUUUUUUUUUUUUUUUUUUUUUUUUUUUUUUUUUUUUUUUUUUUUUUUUUUUUUUUUUUUUUUUUUUUUUUUUUUUUUUUUUUUUUUUUUUUUUUUUUUUUUUUUUUUUUUUUUUUUUUUUUUUUUUUUUUUUUUUUUUUUUUUUUUUUUUUUUUUUUUUUUUUUUUUUUUUUUUUUUUUUUUUUUUUUUUUUUUUUUUUUUUUUUUUUUUUUUUUUUUUUUUUUUUUUUUUUUUUUUUUUUUUUUUUUUUUUUUUUUUUUUUUUUUUUUUUUUUUUUUUUUUUUUUUUUUUUUUUUUUUUUUUUUUUUUUUUUUUUUUUUUUUUUUUUUUUUUUUUUUUUUUUUUUUUUUUUUUUUUUUUUUUUUUUUUUUUUUUUUUUUUUUUUUUUUUUUUUUUUUUUUUUUUUUUUUUUUUUUUUUUUUUUUUUUUUUUUUUUUUUUUUUUUUUUUUUUUUUUUUUUUUUUUUUUUUUUUUUUUUUUUUUUUUUUUUUUUUUUUUUUUUUUUUUUUUUUUUUUUUUUUUUUUUUAUUUUAUUUUAUUUUAUUUUAUUUUAUUCCAAUCAGUCCCAAAAAUAAAUACAAAACCUGUGCUAAUUAAAAUAAAACAAAUUAACAAAAAGAUAGAAUCCAAGAUUUGGUGA